UACAGAGGUGGCAAGCGUUGUUCGGAAUUACUGGGCGUAAAGGGCGCGUAGGCGGCCUUGUAAGUCUCGUGUGAAAGCCCUCGGCUUAACUGAGGAUCUGCACGGGAUACUGCGAGGCUUGAGUUCGGGAGAGGAAAGCGGAAUUCCGGGUGUAGCGGUGAAAUGCGUAGAUAUCCGGAGGAACACCAGUGGCGAAGGCGACACGCUGGGCCGUACCUGACGCUAAAGCGCGACAGCAUGGGGAGCAAACGGG
rnacentral:rRNA from 1 species